rnacentral:rRNA from 1 species
CGAACGCUGGCGGCGUGCUUAACACAUGCAAGUCGAACGGAAAGGCCCUGCUUUUGUGGGGUGCUCGAGUGGCGAACGGGUGAGUAACACGUGAGUAACCUGCCCUUGACUUUGGGAUAACUUCAGGAAACUGGGGCUAAUACCGGAUAGGAGCUCCUGCUGCAUGGUGGGGGUUGGAAGGUUUCGGCGGUUGGGGAUGGACUCGCGGCUUAUCAGCUUGUUGGUGGGGUAGUGGCUUACCAAGGCUUUGACGGGUAGCCGGCCUGAGAGGGUGACCGGCCACAUUGGGACUGAGAUACGGCCCAGACUCCUACGGGAGGCAGCAGUGGGGAAUAUUGCACAAUGGGCGGAAGCCUGAUGCAGCAACGCCGCGUGCGGGAUGACGGCCUUCGGGUUGUAAACCGCUUUCGCCUGUGACGAAGCGUGAGUGACGGUAAUGGGUAAAGAAGCACCGGCUAACUACGUG